rnacentral:rRNA from 1 species
AUUGAACGCUGGCGGCAUGCUUUACACAUGCAAGUCGAACGGCAGCGCGGGCUUCGGCCUGGCGGCGAGUGGCGAAUGGGUGAGUAAUGCAUCGGAACGUGCCCAGUAGUGGGGGAUAGCCCGGCGAAAGCCGGAUUAAUACCGCAUACGACCUGAGGGUGAAAGCGGGGGACCGAAAGGCCUCGCGCUAUUGGAGCGGCCGAUGUCGGAUUAGCUAGUUGGUGGGGUAAAGGCUUACCAAGGCGACGAUCCGUAGCUGGUCUGAGAGGACGACCAGCCACACUGGGACUGAGACACGGCCCAGACUCCUACGGGAGGCAGCGGUGGGGAAUUUUGGACAAUGGGGGCAACCCUGAUCCAGCCAUGCCGCGUGCGGGAAGAAGGCCUUCGGGUUGUAAACCGCUUUUGUUCGGGAAGAAAUUCUCUGGGCUAAUACCCCGGGGGGAUGACGGUACCGGAAGAAUAAGCACCGGCUAACUACGUG